UUCGAUUAGAUACCCCCGUAGUCCCAGCCGUAAACAAUGUGCGUUAGGUGUGUCGGUAACCACGUGUUACUGAUGCGCCGAAGAGAAAUCGUGAAACGCACCACCUGGGAAGUACGGUCGCAAGGCUGAAACUUAAAGGAAUUGGCGGGGGAGCACCACAACAGGUGGAGCCUGCGGUUUAAUUGGAUUCAACGCCGGACAUCUCACCGGAUAAGACAGCUGAAUGAUUGUCAAUCUGAAGGUUUUACAUGACUAGCUGAGAGGAGGUGCAUGGCAA
rnacentral:rRNA from 1 species